rnacentral:rRNA from 1 species
UUACCAUGCAGUCGAUUCGAUUUACCUUCGGGUAUUGAGGAUGGCGGACGGGUGAGUAACGCGUAAGGAACUUGCCUCUUGGACUGGGACAACUGUUGGAAACGACAGCUAAUACCGGAUAUUAUGAGAUUCUCGCAUGGGAAACUUAUGAAAGCUAUAUGCGCCAAGAGAGAGCCUUGCGUUCCAUUAGCUAGUUGGUGGGGUAAUGGCCCACCAAGGCGACGAUGGAUAGCCGGCCUGAGAGGGUGAACGGCCACAAGGGGACUGAGACACGGCCCUUACUCCUACGGGAGGCAGCAGUGGGGAAUAUUGGACAAUGGGCCACAAGCCUGAUCCAGCAAUUCUGUGUGCACGAUGAAGGUCUUCGGAUCGUAAAGUGCUUUCAGUUGGGAAGAAGAAAGUGACGGUACCAACAGAAGAAGCGACGGCUAAAUACGUGCCAG